AAUAAGUGCAGCCAUAAAUUUCCACGCCCAAUUUUGAUCGUUUAUUUAAAAUUUUUUUAUAAUUAACAUUUUUAUUGCUAUGAGAUGAUAAAACAUGAAUAGUACUUUACUCGUGACUUAUGUUUUUAAUUUUUUUCAAAAAAUUUUCAAAUUAGACGAACGGUUAAAGUUGGGCACGGAAAAUCAUGGCUACACUUAUU
rfam:Oryza meridionalis cultivar OR44 (W2112) chromosome 12, whole genome shotgun sequence.